rnacentral:sRNA from 1 species
CCUGUUCCCAUGGGUUCUCCACCCACCCGAAACAAGCACACACCGGGACAGACAAUCGCCGGUGAUAAGGAGGUGUUCAUUUGCAUGAUGGCAUUUGUGCAUAAAAUGGGACUGCUCCAGAAGUGGUUCUACUGCCCUGUCUUCACCCUAGUGCGGCAAGCCGAUGGAACAGAGCACCUGCAUUGACUGCCAUGCGCCGAUUGGAGGCAUUAACCACAAACCUCGGGACGGCUUUCGUCUGGUCAAUGACAGGGCAGACAGAACACAGACCGGCCAUGUGCUAGGCGACCCGCAGCAGAGAGACGUG